AUUGAACGCUGGCGGCAGGCUUAACACAUGCAAGUCGAACGGAGUGGCGCACGGGUGAGUAAUGUAUAGCUAAUCAGCCCUACACUAGAGGACAACAGUUGGAAACGAACGAUAAUACUCUAUAGUGUAGGAUGAGGCGAUAUUGUAUCAGCUAGUUGGUGAGGUAAUGGCUCACCAAGGCUAGGACGCAUAACUGGUCUGAGAGGAUGAUCAGUCACACUGGAACUGAGACACGGUCCGGACUCCUACGGGAGGCAGCAGUAGGGAAUAUUGCUCAAUGGGGGAAACCCUGAAGCAGCAACGCCGCGUGGAGUAUGACACUUUUCGGAGCGUAAACUCCUUUUGUUAGGGAAGCGGUACCUAACGAAUAAGCACCGGCUAACUCCGUGCCAGCAGCCGCGGUAAUUC
rnacentral:rRNA from 1 species